rnacentral:snRNA from 1 species
UUAUCUGUACGAUAAAUUCUUCUCUGUUCUUAUCGGCCUAAUCUCCGGUACGUUGUCUAUUGACAACUUCGAGAUUAACCGAUUUUUGGAAACGGGAUGGUUUGCAGGGGCUUGCUCCUCGCCAUCCACGGGUCGGCCCGGUAUUUCACUGCCUCCGGGAUCGGCCCUUCCUUC